GAUUGUUGAGAUCUGGCGACUUGUUUAAAUUUCAUCAGCCUCACUUCUAUGAACUCUCAGAGCUGAUUACCAACUCCUACCACUGUUAACCCUCAUCCAGGAACAAGCUUAUGUCUUUAACAUUCUGAGUGGGCUUCAGCAUCCUUGCAUAUGUUCAAUUCUUAAAAACCUGUUGAAAUAAAAGAUCAGGAGACAUAGGAAGGAUGCCAGAAGAGAGCGUGGCCUCACGUGUACCAGCUCUCUGCUCUCCUUUGCCUUGGGACGUUCCAUCCCUGGAAGUUUCCCUGCCCACAUCUUUGUAGAGAGUCCAUUCUCCAAGCUUCAGUGUGUCAUCUGUGAGGACCGUGACCCACCUGGUACAUCGCCUCAGGGCAUUCAUUUCAGGCUCCUUCUAAAUGGCCAAGAGACAACACCAACAUUUUUGUAAUGGCCUGCAAGGCCUUCCGAGAUCUACCUCCUGCAACUCAGCUUCUCCUGUGCUCUCCUUCUGGACUCACUCUGCCUCAGCAACACUGGUCCCUGUUGCCCCACCAAUAUGCCAGGUAAACCUCAGGUUCUCCUCCUGCCUUUUGCUAAGUAUAUGUCUUGAUGACAAGCCUUCUGCUGAUGAGCUGUGUUUCUGGACCGAUCAUGGUAGAAGUCAAUUAACGUGUCCCUCACUUGGGGUUUCUCAAGGACAUGCAAGGUCCUCAUGAUUGUCUCAAAACUAUAUAGAAUUGAGAAGCUGCACUGAUGAGGAAACUGAAACAGAAAAUCCAGAGUAAAUUCCACCAGGCCACACAGCAAGGUCUGAUAGAGCCAGGAGAGACUUUAUGAAAUCCAGACUCUCACACUAAUGCUCUAUCAGCUAGACCUCCAUGUGAGUCUCCCCAAUGUAGGUAGGAAGUGCUUUCCC
rnacentral:lncRNA from 1 species